UACGGGGGGGGCAAGCGUUGUUCGGAAUUACUGGGCGUAAAGGGCGCGUAGGCGGUUGGAUAAGUCAGCUGUGAAAACCACGAGCUUAACUCGUGGCCUGCAGUUGAGACUGUCUGGCUUGAGUGUGGGAGAGGAGAGUGGAAUUCCUGGUGUAGCGGUGAAAUGCGUAGAUAUCUGGAGGAACACCGGUGGCGAAGGCGGCGUUCUGGACUGUUUCUGACACUGAAUAACGAAAGCCAGGGGAGCAAACGGG
rnacentral:rRNA from 1 species